rnacentral:rRNA from 1 species
AUUGAACGCUGGCGGCAGGCCUAACACAUGCAAGUCGAACGGUAACAGGAAGAAGCUUGCUUCUUUGCUGACGAGUGGCGGACGGGUGAGGAAUGUCUGGGAAACUGCCUGAUGGAGGGGGAUAACUACUGGAAACGGUAGCUAAUACCGCAUAACGUCGCAAGACCAAAAAGGGGGACCUUCUGGCCUCUUGCCAUCGGAUGUGCCCAGAUGGGAUUAGCUAGUAGGUGGGGUAACGGCUCACCUAGGCGACGAUCCCUAGCUGGUCUGAGAGGAUGACCAGCCACACUGGAACUGAGACACGGUCCCGACGCCUACGGGAGGCAGCAGUCGGGAAUAUUGCACAAUGGUCGCAAGCCUGAUGCAGCCAUGCCGCGUGUAUUAAGAAGGCCUUCGGGUUGUAAAGUACUUUCAGCGGGGAGGAAGGGAGUAAAGUUAAUACCUUUGCUCAUUGACGUUACCCGCAGAAGAAGCACCGGCUAACUCCGUG